AGUGAACGCUGGCGGUAGGCCUAACACAUGCAAGUCGAACGGCAGCACAGUAAGAGCUUGCUCUUACGGGUGGCGAGUGGCGGACGGGUGAGGAAUACAUCGGAAUCUACUUUUUCGUGGGGGAUAACGUAGGGAAACUUACGCUAAUACCGCAUACGACCUACGGGUGAAAGCAGGGGAUCUUCGGACCUUGCGCGAUUGAAUGAGCCGAUGUCGGAUUAGCUAGUUGGCGGGGUAAAGGCCCACCAAGGCGACGAUCCGUAGCUGGUCUGAGAGGAUGAUCAGCCACACUAGAACUGAGACACGGUCCAGACUCCUACGGGAGGCAGCAGUGGGGAAUAUUGGACAAUGGGCGCAAGCCUGAUCCAGCCAUACCGCGUGGGUGAAGAAGGCCUUCGGGUUGUAAAGCCCUUUUGUUGGGAAAGAAAAGCAGCAGGUUAAUACCCCGCUGUUCUGACGGUACCCAAAGAAUAAGCACCGGCUAACUUCGU
rnacentral:rRNA from 1 species